CCUACGGGAGGCAGCAGUGAGGAAUAUUGGUCAAUGGACGAGAGUCUGAACCAGCCAAGUAGCGUGAAGGAUGACUGCCCUAUGGGUUGUAAACUUCUUUUAUAAAGGAAUAAAACGAGGCACGUGUGCCUUUUUGCAUGUACUUUAUGAAUAAGGCUCGGCUAACUCCGUGCCAGCAGCCGCGGUAAUACGGAGGAUCCGAGCGUUAUCCGGAUUUAUUGGGUUUAAAGGGAGCGUAGAUGGGUUGUUAAGUCAGUUGUGAAAGUUUGCGGCUCAACCGUAAAAUUGCAAUGGAUACUGGUAGUCUUGAGUACAGUUGAGGUAGGCGGAAUUCGUGGUGUAGCGGUGAAAUGCUUAGAUAUCACGAAGAACCCCGAUUGCGAAGGCAGCUUACUAAACUGUGACUGACAUUGAUGCUCGAAAGUGUGGGUAUCAAACAGGAUUAGAUACCCUGGUAGUC
rnacentral:rRNA from 1 species